UGGGAAAGAGACUAGCUUUAGGCAGUUUUAGAUACAUGGUUCCAGGAUAAUUUGGCGAACUGAAUCCAUUAAGCAAGAGGGUCUUUGGGUAACAACCGUAAAGGCCGUCGCUAAAAUUUAGCAGGAAGGCCUUGCAUUUGCACAACUGUAAGCAUAGAUUUUCACAGCUUUCAUAGGUGUAAUUGGGGUAGUGACCAUAGUCAUAGCCGUAGAGUUGAACAUGAGGGAGUGGGAAGAAGCCCACCUCAGUUUGGUUACAAGCGAUAUCAGUUUCUGGUGCGCACCCAUAAGACCAGUCAGUUGAAUUUACAAUCUUGAAUCCAGGCAUGCAAGAGCAUCCUCUGCCAUAAGCAGGGGUGUAACUGCAGAGACUGUUGGGUCCGCAGAUGCCAUGAAUCUGGCAUGGUUGGGAGAUAGCCUGCCAUGAAACCGACCAGGUUCCUCUCGUUUCUUCUAGACUAUACAUUCUAAGAUUGCCAUCGAAAUCGAGGGCCAAUCUUCUCUGAGGCCCCGCACCAAAAUCCGCUGACCGAAAUUCCAAAUCAUCUGAUGCUCUAUAAUAACCCAAAGAAUCGAAUACUGCGAUUCGACUGUUGUUGUAUGUGCUUCUUCCAGCAUCCCAGGUCACCAGGCUUGGGUCUGGCCAGUAGAUGCUGGAAACCUCAGUACCAUUGAAGAGAAGGCGGAUGACGUUAUCACUGUCAAAAAAUAGCUUAUAAAAACCAGAAGAAUAGUUGCUUUGGCUUCUUGAGGAGAUAAGGCUGGUAUCUUUGGUCAGUAUCUGGUGAGGAAGAAGAGUAUCUGUGGGUGAGUCAAAGCUCUGCCAAAUCACCGUCUUCUCCCAAGCAUAUAGAACAAGAUUGCCGGUGUUAAGGAGCUGUAAUCUCGCAGAUGAGGUUGAAACGGUGUUGAUCAUCCAAACCAUGAUUUUACCAGCAUCAGUUAAGAGGAGAUUGCCAUUCCUCAACAAAGAAAGCUUGGAGCCUCUACCGUUGACCGGUUGGUCACGGUUCGCCAUCCAAACUGUGGUUGCACCCCAUGAUUUUGUAAACCAUAUGGCGAAGCAGAAAGUGUUGUUGCCGACCUGAUAAAACCCAGCAGAGAAUAUACCAUUUGCUGAAAUGAGAAGAUCAUUUGAUUUCUCCACGGAAAGAGACGAGCCUUCGCUCAGAGUAUCAUACGUUUCAGAUGAAGAUGGAUAGCAAGUUAAUAGCAAAGCCAAAACAAAGAAACCAACUGUCCUAUCCAUGAGUUUUGGGAUAUGGUUUAUGUGCUCUGUUUCCUGAUCAGAUAUUUGCAAUGGAGAAUGCAAGUGUACGGUGCUACCAGAGUUUAGAAAAUAAAUUGACUCCUUGACUGGGGUGAAGGGGGGAAAUUCACAUUGCCCCUCGGGCCAAGUUUUGCUUGUGCCAUCGUGUUGGGUUUCUAAAAGCAUUUCAUGUCAACGUCAAAAUAAUGGGAUGAAGACCCGCUAUUUUUAAUGGGAUCUAUUUUGAUUGGAUGACUUGGGCCAUUCAAAUUUUGUAGUUUCCACUUGGAACAACAAAAUUAUUAUGAGAUACGUCAUUUUGAAGAAAGAUUCUAGAAAUAAGAUGUUAAAUUGAUCUCUUUUCCAUGUAGCUGAACUCGUCAACUGUGAGUCUGAGCCAUAUGAUUUCUGUGCCAUACAGAAGCUUAUUGUUCCAAGUUGCCUGUUCAAAGGUUGACCUGUGAACAGUUUGGAUCCAAAUACAAUGAAUGUGAUGAAAUUUACUGAAACCGGGACUCUCUGACUGGCCUGUGGCCUUUAUGAGUUUUAUUUUAGAGGUGACGUCUGAUGUUGAUUGGCCCAAGCAGGGAAAGAUCAAAUGGGAAACGACGGUCACAACUUGUGGGGUGACUUACCAUUCACCAAGUAACACUUCAAAGAAAUUAAUCGAGCCAAUGGAUUUCACAAGUUCCCUCUUUGCAGAAUUUUGAAUAUUUAAAAAGAAUCUUAACUUUUAAAACCUAAAUUUAUAGUUAAUUUUUAGGUGUAAUUGUGUUUUGGAUGUAGUUGGACCAAAAAAAUUAAGUUUUGAUUCAUAUAAGUUUAUCAUUUAAGUCCAAUACUUAAAGAAAGUAUGAAAAUUAAAAAAAAUGAUAUGAAUUUUUUAUCUUUCUAAAAAUGAUAUUUAUUGACUAUGAAAAAAAUAAGUAGAAAAACAUUAAUUUAAAUUUUAUUCUUUUUAUAAACUUCAAUAAAAUUUAAUUUCAUUUAAUGAUUUGAAAAAAAAAACACCAUUUUAAAAAAAAUAAUAAUAAAUUAUUAUUAUUAUUAUUAUUAUUUAAAAAUCAAACAUAUUGAAAAAAAUAUAUUUUUAAAAUUAUAUAUGUAAAAAAUAACUAAAAACAUGUCAAAAUUUUUUUAAAAAUGAUAUAUUUUUAGAAUAUUUUUUUUUAAAAAAAAUAGUUUUCUUAAAAUAAUAAAUUUUCAGAAUAAUUAUUAAAAAAAAUUAAGAUAAAAAAGUUUGUCAAACAUUAUAAUAGAAAACACUCAAAAUAGUUUUGAAGGGUAUAUGAGUGUUUUCAUAUUUUAUAUCCUUCCCCUUGAUUAUGCCCAGAUAGAUCCAAAACAUUAUUAUCCCUAAUUUUUAAACGCUUAAUUAUUGCGAUUUGAGGGUAAAACAUUUUCUUUUAUUCAAUCAAGAUUGAAUUUAAAAUAAUAGCGUUGGUAUUACUCCCUCUCUUUUAUCCUUUUCUUAUUCUAUCUAAUAGUUGUUUUCUCGCCGCCUUUGUGGGCCAAGAUGAACUAAUGCUAAGAAUUUUAUUCAUCUGCUUUCUUUCAAGACUCACUUAUUGAAUAUAAUAUCUCAAUAAAUAUGGAACCUGAUUUUGAUUAUAUUGGUACAAUUAUUGAUACAACUGUUGGCUCCGCUCAUUUUGAUUAUAUUGGUACAAUUUUAUUCAUCCUAACCUCUAUGUCAACAGGACCACUAAACUUAAGAAAAAACACUAAAUUUUGAAUUUUUAACUUCUAAAAAAAAACACCCGACCCGACUACCUAAUCUAAAUGUUUUCCUUUCUCAUUUGAAAGUUUUCUCUCAUCUUUUUUCACUCAUGACAACCCAAAAUUUCUCUUAUUUCAAUUUAGAAACCCAAAACUGAAACUCCAAAGCGGUGUCAAAAUGCCUCUUUCGACAUGCCUCUGGCUGAGACGCCUCAGCUAGGCGCUUGCCUUGAGCCCUAACUACAGUUAACUCUCGUCUAGGAGCUAUGGGAGUCUAAGACAAUUCGGUAAAAACGAAAUAGAGCUCAGAUGGAGAGAGUAGAUGCCCAAAAACUAAAACCCUAACCUCCAAAUGCGUCCUAAACUCGCAAAUUCGUAUUCAAUAUAGCUUUAUCAGACAUAAAUAGCACCAAACAUCUCUCUUAGACCACCGAAUCGACAAAGCCCUUGAAGAACCAAAGGAAACGGUGCAAAAAAUGAAGCGCAGGAGACUUUUAAAGUAUUGGGUGUUGACGAACUUGUUGAUCGAACCUUGAUCGGUCACCUUUGGUAUUUUGGUGACUGCACCUUAGAUACUACCUUAACUAACCUUUGGUACUACCUUAGUUAAACUUGAAUACUACUUGUGUGAAACCUCAGAACUUCAUUUGUGGAUAUGACUCACUUCAUUUGUGACCUUUAGAGCAUGUCAUUUUGUAAUUAAUUAGUGUGGUCAAUUGGUUCACCUUUUGUAUUUUAGUGACUGUACCUUAGACAUUACCUUAAUAGCCCUAAGAUAUAACCUUAAUUUACCUUAAAUACUACCUUAAUUGACCUUAGGUACUACUUUAGUUAAGCUCAUUCAACUUUCUAAGAGCAAGUUGGUGUCCUUUUCAGUUUUAGACAUAAAAUAGGUCAACCGGUUAUCCUUUCUCGAUCAAGGUUUGGUUGAGAAUGAAGUAAGUAAUAUCCACAAAUGAAAUUCCGAGGCUUCAGAUAGGUAGUACCCAAGUUUUACUAAGGUAGUACAUAAGGUUGGUUAAGAUAGUAUCUAAAAAAAAUAUAUGCCAUGAUAAAAGAAAUCCACCAUGAUAAUCCGUUGGGAGAAAAAUCGAUAGAAAAUCGGUAAUUUCACUGAAAAAUCAACGAAAUCUCGGUGAUAAGUUGGGAUGUAUGGCAACUUUGGGCAAUCAGUGGUAUAAAAAAAAUUGUGGUGAAAUAUUAGCAACCCAUUUUUUUGGUGGCAGUUUUUUUUUUUUUUUUAAUUUUAUAAUUUAUCCUGUUUUUAAAAUUUUUAAUUAUUCAUUUUUAAUUUAUCAUUUCAUUUUUAACUAUUUUUUAUAUUUAUCACAUUAAUUUUAUUUAAAAAAAUUACUAUCACUUCACUCUUAAUUUUUCUUAUAUUUAUCCUUUUAAUUUUAUUUAAUUUUAAAUGUUUUUGUUUUAAAAUAUUAAAAAUAUAAUUUUACUAAAAAAUUGUUACAAUAAAAAAAAUUAAUGAAGUUCUAAUAUUUUAUAAAUUAAAAUUAAUUUAAUAAAACAAAUUAUUAAUAAUUUUAAUUAUUAAAAUAAAUUAAUUUUAAUAGAAAAAGUUGUCAAUAUUUGUAAUAAAAUUUUAGAAAUUAAAUCUUAAAUAAAAUAUGUUAUAUAAAUCAAUUUAAUUUUUUAUUUACAAUGUAAUAAAACAUGGUUUAAUAAAAAUAUUUUUAAAAUGUUAAAAUAAAUUAAUAUAAAUAUAUUAAAGGAAAUUAAGCUAUUUUUUUAUGAAAAUUUGAUAAAUAUUAUCUUUAAUCAUGUUUGGUAGUUACAAAAUAAUUUUAAUAUAUAUAUUUUUUUAUUUCAUCAUAUUUUUGAAAGCUUUUUAUAUGAAUUUUGAACUACUUGUGUUUGAUAUGAUAUUUUUGUCAAAAUAUUCAUCGAUAUUUAUUCGAUAUUUUCGAUAUAUCCAUAAAAUUUAAAUACCAUGUAUCCAUAUUUAACGAUAUAUUUCUAACAUUUGAGUUGAUGGGAAAUGUGAAUGAGAUUAAGAAAAAUAGAGAAUGUUGAGUUUUAAUUGGUUAUAAGAAAUGAAAUAAUUCUCAAAUCCAAAAUUUAACGAUUCCCAUAUUUUUUUUGUGGAAAAAUAACUUUUUUUUUUAUAUAUAUAUAAAUGUUAUUUUUUAUUUCAAAUAUAAUGUGAAUGAGAUUAAGAAAAAUAGAGAAUGUUGAGUUUUAAUUGGUUAUAAGAAAUGAAAUAAUUCUCAAAUCCAAAAUUUAACCAUUUCCAUAUUUUUUUGUGGAAAAAUAACUUUUUUAUAUAUAUAUAUAUAUAAAUGUUAUUUUUUAUUUCAAAUAUCUAUAUAUAAGUUUUAAAAAAAAUAAUUAUUUUUAUAAGAAAAUAAUGAGGAUAUUUUUAUCUAAAUGAUCUCAAAAAAAAAAAUACCUAAAGAUAUUUUUGUAUGAUGUCUUGUCCAUCAUAAAAAAAAUUACUCAGGGAGGGUGUAGUUUGGUAAAGAGACCGAGCUCGUGGAUGGAAGCUCUGGCCCACAUCCGAAGAUUUCAUAACGACGUAUAAAGUAUAAACUAUCCUAGGCCUUCGCUUAUAACUUCAUUUGUGUGUUCCUUCCCAGAAUUUGAUUCAAGGUUCGCCCUACAGCCUUUUCAGCUGAUCCAAUUUCAUAGAUUACAUGGAUGCGCCAGUUCUUUUGCUUCUUCUCGCUCUGCUUCUAUCUUCUCCACUUCCAUCGUCUACCCUCGACAGUUUGAGUCAAGGCUCAUCCCUAUCAGUUGGGAAGCCUGAACAAGUUUUAAUUUCACAAAGUAGAAUCUUUUCAGCCGGCUUCUACCCCGUCGGUGACAAUGCUUAUUGUCUUGCCAUGUGGUUCACCAAACCAUCCUACGACGGGAAACAUACGGUUGUUUGGAUGGCAAACCGAAACCAACCAGUUAAUGGGAAUUUCUCAAAGCUUUCCCUGCUAAAAAAUGGUGAUCUUAUCUUAACAGAUGCCGGGCGGUUCAUAGUUUGGGCCACAAAGACGGUUGGGAUUUCUCCGGUGCGAUUACAUCUCUUCAAAUAAAAUACUUGACAGUGGCAUGUUGUGUUGGACCCUUGUAGUUGUUGGUUGUACAGGGCGGAUCCGCUUGAUUAGCUUUUGUAGCAUAUUGUAAGCAUGCAUGGCUCUCAAAAUCUUAAGAGACAGAAAUGAAAUUUACUCUAAUAAUAUAUAUAGACACGUAAAGAUAAAAAUAUACUAUUAUCCUUUUUCAUAUAGUAUUGUAUCUUGUAUAGAAUACAUAAUCACUUGAAGUAAUUGUAUUACCCAAUAAAUUGUACCUAGUUUUAGUGACGUAACCAACAAUUUGAUUUAAGGGUGGCAACUAUUAAUGCAUAUAUAGGCCUUAGCUCAAUAGUCAAGACUUGUUAUUGUUAAGGGAGACAUUAUCUGUCUUGAGUUCAAAUUCUUAUAUUGUAAAAAUUGAAUCUUUUAUUUUUUAGCAUUUUCAUGAGGAGAGAUGACCCCCAUAGGCUCUAUCUGGCUCUAUGUCAAUGCCUAGUUUAUUGAUCGAUGGUGUUUGAAUCUAUUUAUUUUUUAUUCUUAACAUUUUCAAGGGGUAGGUGCCCCUUAGGCCUUACCCAGCUCUACUUGUAUCUAGUUUAUUGAUUGAUGGUGUUUGAAUCUAUUCAUUAUAAAAUUUUCUUAUUUUUUAUUUUAGUUAAUAUUUUAUUUAAAUUGUUAAGCUUGUUUUCAAUGAUUAAAAUAAAUAAAAACAGCAUGCAUUAUUAAUUUAUUACGUCAAGUACAAUAAAAUAAGAAAAUAAUAUACUUGGCUAAAUAAGUUCAUUCAAUAGUAUUUCAGAAAGUAACUUUCAAAUGAUAAGGAAGUAACAAUAUUACACAAAAAAAAAAAAGUUCUCUGAGGUUAAAUUAUAUCUUAUAUUUAAUUAUUAAUAAAAAUAGAAUAGUCAAUUGUACUUUUAUUCAUACCUCAUAUUACUAUAUUAGAUGAUAAGCCAGUAUAGAUAGAUUAAUACUAUGAUUGGUUUCAAAAAAUUAUUAAGAAAAGAAAAAGAAUAUUAAGAAAAAUAGGUUUUUAAUAUCUUAUUUUAGUAUAAAAAUAAAAAAUAAGAUAUAAUUAAAAUUAAUUAAAAACUUACAUAUUUUUAAAUUAUUUGAUAUUUAUAUAAAAAAUAAUAUAUUAACUUAAAUGAGUUUAAGAUGGUAUAUAAAAUAAUUUAUCAGCUUUAAAUUUUUUUUUUUUUUACUUUUACAUGAUACUUAAAAAGGUAUAUAAAUAGAGAAACAGUAUACUAAAUAAAAUAAUUUUAUCUAUAUAUAAAAAUAAUUUAUUAAUUUAAAAUCUAUUUUUAUUUCCUUUUAACUUUUCUUUCCUUUCUUUUUCCAUAUUUUCCAAAUACUUCACAGAGCACUCCACUCCCUUUUUUUUUUUCUUUUUUUUUUCUUUUUUACCUCAAAAUUUCAGAAACCAAACAUAAAAAUACAAACACAGGUGUAAAGUUUGUAUCUUUGUGAAACUCAUGUAAUCCUGACCCAUGGGAACCUUCCCAUACAAUUAAUUUCCUGCAAAGGAAGGCGGCAGCAACAUGUCAUUGGGUGAGCGUCUUAGGAGACAAAAUCUGACCAGCGGUUGAAGGAAAAAUGCACAAUUUAACUUAUCUGUGGAAGCUUGCCCAGCUGGGUCGUUUUCCAAAACACGAGGCUGCAGCUUGGAACCUGGGGCAUUCAUAUUCCAUCAUCAUCAUUAUUAACAUUUUUAUUCCAUCUAGCUUUCACCUUCCCAUGGGAAUUGCUACCAUCCGCACAAGUCAAGAGCGACUUUGUCUUUUCCAUAAAUAUUAGUAUUAUUUGUGUGUUCCUUCCCAGAAUUUGAUUCAAGCUCAGCCCUACGGCCUUUUCAACUGAUCCAACUUCAUAGAUGACAUGGAUGCGCCAGUUCUUUUGCUUCUUCUCACUCUGCUUCUAUCUUCUCCACUUCCAUCGUCCACCCUCGACAGUUUGAGUCAAGGCUCAUCCCUCUCAGUUGGAAAGCCUGAACAAGUUUUGAUUUCACAAAGUGGAAUCUUCUCAGCUGGCUUCUACCCCGUCGGUGAUAAUGCUUAUUGUCUUGCCAUAUGGUUCACCAAACCAUCCUACGACGGCAAACAUACCGCUGUUUGGAUGGCAAACCGAAACCAACCAGUUAAUGGGAAUUUCUCAAAGCUUUCGCUGCUAGAAAGUGGUGAUCUUAUCUUAACAGAUGCUGGGCGGUUCAUAGUUUGGACCAUAAAGAGGGUUGGGAUUUCUCCGGUGCAAUUACACCUCUUCAACACUGGUAACCUUGUGCUGCGUACCUCGGAUGGUGUUAUUCAAUGGCAAAGUUUCGAUUCACCAACAGAUACCCUUCUCCCUCACCAACCACUCACCAGAAAUACGAGACUCGUCUCUUCAAGAACCAAAACCAACUUUUUCUCAGGGUUUUAUAAGCUCUAUUUUGACAACAAUAACGUCCUCAGUCUUGUCUUCGAUGGGCGGGACGCUUCAAGCAUUUACUGGCCCCCAUCGUGGCUUGUAAGCUGGCAGGCGGGAAGAUCGGCAUACAACAGCAGCAGAACUGCAUUACUAGAUAACUUUGGCUAUUUUUCUUCAUCCGACGAUUUUAAGUUUCAGUCCUCGGAUUUUGGUGAGAGAGUCCAAAGAAGAUUGACCCUGGAUAUUGAUGGCAACUUACGAUUAUACAGUUUUGAGGAAAGGAGAAAUAAGUGGGUUGUUACUUGGCAAGCCAUCACGCUACAAUGCAACAUUCAUGGAAUAUGCGGACCCAACAGUAUUUGUACCUAUGUGCCUGGUUCUGGGAGUGGAAGGAGAUGCUCUUGCAUACCUGGAUAUGAGAUGAAAAAUCGCACUGACCGAACUUAUGGAUGCAUACCUAAAUUCAAUCUUUCUUGCGACUCACAGAAGGUUGGUUUCCUCCUACUCCCACACGUUGAGUUCUACGGCUAUGAUUAUGGCUAUUACCCCAAUUACACCUUACAGAUGUGUGAAAAACUGUGCUUGGAAAUAUGUGGCUGCAUAGGAUAUCAAUACAGCUAUAAUUCGGAUGUUUAUAAAUGUUAUCCUAAGCGGCUGUUGCUCAACGGAUACCGCUCGCCUAGUUUUGUAGGACAUAUAUACCUAAAAUUGCCUAAAGCUAGUCUUCUUUCCUAUGAAAAACCGGUUAAGGAAUUCAUGUUAGAUUGCUCUGGCAACCGCUCAGAGCAGCUAGUAAGAUCUUAUGCAAAAGCCCACGAAAAUGAAGUGUUAAAGUUCAUCCUCUGGUUUGCGUGCGCAAUUGGAGCAGUUGAGAUGGUUUGCAUUUGUAUGGUGUGGUGUUUCUUGAUGAAGGCCCAGCAAAACACCAGUACAGAUCCGCCAGGCUACAUUUUAGCUGCCACGGGAUUCAGAAAAUUCACCUAUACUGAGCUGAAGAAAGCAACACGGGGUUUCAGUGAGGAGAUUGGCAGAGGAGGAGGUGGGGUUGUAUACAAAGGUGUCUUAUCAGACCACCGAGUGGCAGCCAUCAAGCAGCUCAGUGGAGCUAACCAAGGAGAAUCUGAAUUCUUGGCAGAAGUAAGUACCAUUGGGAGGCUUAACCACAUGAACUUGAUAGAGAUGUGGGGUUAUUGCUUUGAGGGGAAGCACAGGCUCUUGGUUUAUGAAUACAUGGAGCAUGGAUCACUAGCACAAAACCUCACUUCCAAUACACUUGAUUGGCAGAAGAGGUUCGACAUUGCGGUGGGCACAGCAAAAGGCCUGGCUUAUUUACACGAAGAGUGCUUGGAGUGGGUUCUACACUGCGAUGUGAAGCCUCAAAACAUACUCCUAGACGUUAAUUAUCAGCCAAAGGUGGCAGACUUCGGCCUGUCAAAGUUACAGAACAGAGGAGAAAUCAACAAUUCGAGAUUGUCGAGGAUCAGAGGAACAAGAGGUUACAUGGCUCCAGAAUGGGUUUUGAACCUCCCCAUCACCUCCAAAGUAGACGUUUAUAGCUAUGGUAUUGUGGUUCUGGAGAUGGUUACCGGCCGAAGGAGUGCUUCAAUGGCCAUCCACGGUACAGAUGGCAUAGGGGAACGUCAGAGUUUGGUGGCAUGGGUGAAAGGGAAGAUGAAUGGAGCAACUGCGGUUGCUUCGUGGAUGAAAGAAAUCCUAGACCCGUCGAUGGAAGGCGAAUAUGACAUGGGUGAGAUGGAAAUUCUAGUAGCAGUGGCUUUGCAAUGUGUGGAAUUGGACAAGGAUGAAAGACCCACCAUGAGUCAGGUGGUCGAGACGCUUCUCCGCCCCGAACGUGGAAACAAUCAUCACUACUAAUAAAUUAAUGCCUCGUAUGGGGCCCAAGUGAGGUGGCUUUCUGUACCUGUUCCGCCCAUUUAUGAUAUUUGUAAAAAGACAGUAAUUUUAAGUAGAAUAAUUGAGAAGCCGAAUCUUUUGAUACAACAUACAAUAUAAUUAUAUUGAAGUAUCUUUUUAAAAGAUACAACUUGGUUAUAAAUUUUAAUGUCAAUCUUCUCGAAUGUUAAGUAAAAAAUUGUUUAAUUUUUUUAGAAAAUCUUUAAUAUUAUGUCACUAUAUUUAAAGUAUUUUUUAAGAGGUUAUCAAAAUUUGAUAUUAUUUUUUAAUUCAAAUUUAUAAUUAUAAUUUAUAAAUAGUUUUUUAAUUAUUAUAAAAUACCGGACUUCUUACUAGAUCAAUUAGAAUGGACGAUCAUCUAUUCCUCUAUAUCUCUUCAAUAUUGUUGCUAUCCUCCUCCCAACUUUAUAUAAAAUAAAAAUUUUACUAAUAAAUAUUACAUGGAAUUUUGUUCCCAAUAUCUCUCCUUCGUACUCUUAUCUUAUUAAACUCUUCUUUUACAAUAUUAAUUGAUAUAUUUUAGGUAUUUGUAUGUUAGUGAAUUAAUUUAAAUAUCGUAGGUUUUGACUUUUGGGACAACCAUUUUAGAGAGCUCAUACAUCACGCACUACCACCUCAACCUUCUUUGACAUUCAUUUAUUUAUUUUUAUUACCUUUCGAUCGGUGAUAUCAUUGCUUAGGAACAAUAAUUAUUGUGAAGGCAUUUUAUCUUUUUCGUUUACCCAAGAAUAAUCAUACUAAUAUAAACAAAUAAUUUUGAUCAUGCACAAAUAAAUAUAUUUUUAUAAAAUUUAGAUUUAAUUUUUUAGUAUAUGACAUAGAUUCUUCUUCUUCUCCUUUGCUAAAUCUCAUGUGGUUGGAUUUGGAGCAUCGACUGUACGUAUUAUUCAAUUGUGAAAGACAAAUUUCAUUGAGUUGAAAGACCAAUGGGCCAUGGACGCAAUGCUUGCUUCACUUAAUUUUUUAAAACUCGUUUUUAGUAGUACAAAUUUUUUUAUUAUAUAAAGUAUUGAUGUUAUUAUCUUUUUAUAUUAAUUUUAUUUUUCUUCCAUUUUUUAUAUUGAUUUUAUAAAAACAUAUCUUGGGAUAUUAUUUCACUAAAAACAUAUCAUAUGCAUAACCGUUUAACAUGCAAUUUUUUCAUACAUAAUCAAAGAUAGACUUUUUUUUCCUUUUACUUUUUUUCCUUCUUUUUUUUUUUUUGGUAUUUUGUCGUAAACAAACACGGUCUUAGAAUUUAAUCACAAACAAAGUAUUAUGUUACUUUUAAUCAAAUUUAAGGACUUGGCAUGCCUGUCAUGUACUUUAGACACAAAUGAAAAGUUUGAGGUCUCCUAUUGAAAAUUUAAUUCAUUCCAGUAUACCAUAUUAUUAUUAUUAUUAUUAUUUUGGUGAUCAUGGGUAUAAAUAUUACUAGGAAAAAAGGCAAAUUGACGUAAUAGAAGGCCUAACGGCUCAUGUUUUGUAUUUAUUUAAAUUAGUAUUUAUUAAUCAUUUAUUGAUGUGAUAAAAAAUUUGUAAUUCAAAAUUUGAUUUUAUCAAGUGAAGUACCCGAUAAACAGAAACGGAGGAACCUAAAGGGAGGGAAAAAAAAAAGGUGAAAUGAAGACACAUCCAAAAACCCUAAUGGCCUAUUGUCACACCCUCGAAAAUCACCUUAAAUUUUUCUUACGAGUGCGUGGUGCUAAGGACCCGUCCUUAGCCAACCUUCCCUUCCCAACGUUUAGAAGAACAGAAUAGAAUACAGAAAUCAAAGCAACAGGGACACACGAGGUUGCAGGAAAAUCCUUUCCCAACUUGUAUUAAUCACUCUUACAAGACAAAAUUGCUUCUUGAACUAGAGUACAAUGCACUUACCCAAGGCAUACAAGAAGGAAUCCUUUCCCCAACUCUCACCCUCUGUUUCAAGGCUGCAGGAGCCCUAUUUAAAUGACUCAUCUACAGUUACACAUUUGAAUUCCCUCAAUUCAAAUCUUGGAGCCAACUAGGUGGUCAUGCAACUGGCCAGAACUGCCCUCAACUGCUUGCACAACCACCCACUGUGGAUUCGGCUCCUUGCGACACGUGGCAUCGCGCAUUUCACCCGGACGGAAAUUCUCCCUUAUUCCACCCGAAUAUCUCAUAUCCGGAAUUCUGUCCGCUGACGUUCCACUCGGAUAUCUCACAUCCGGCGCCUGUCCGCCGCCGUUCCACUCGGAUAUCUUACAUCUGGCGCCUGUCCACCGUUGUUCCACCCGAAUAUCUCUCAUCCGACGCCCCAUGUCAUCGGAUAGGAGAGGAGGACGAUUCAACUUCCCCAGGUAGACAUGUCCGAAUCCUUUGGUAACGCCUAUUCGGGGUGCGCGCAUGACUUGUCCACGAUCCCCACACUUAGCUCCUGGGGUUUGAACCACAAAACCUCCAGGCUUUCCUUGCUUUCCACCUAGGCUCUCAUAGGUGCAAGACCUACCCAUGAGGCUUAUUUCUCCGGGUUUGAAUCAAGUGGAUAAGGGGUUGACACAUAUCCCCUAAAAAUUCUAGCUUUAGAAUUAUUGUCCUAGAAGAAAAAGACGAGCAAGUGUUUUCUCACAUCAUGGAGUUACUAUAUAACGUUAAAAAACUAAAGUAUUGUUUGUUUUCUUAAUUUUUUAUUUCGGUUUUUUUUAAACCUUUCAUUAACUUAUUAUUUACUUCUUAAAUUUUUUUAUUAAAUAAAAAAUUUUAAAUAUAUAAAAUUUUUAAAUAUUGAAAAUAAUUCAUUAAUUUUUCUUUACUUAUUUAAUAAAAAUAAAAUAUAAAAAAUGAACAAUUUAAUACUUAAUAUUAUUAAAUACUAUUUAAUUUUAAAUUUUAUUUAAAAUUAAGUUAAAAAGAAACACCAUUUAAAUGUCUUCAUUGUGUGUUGGACAUUAUCAACUCUACUCUUUUAUAAAAAAAUUUAUUUUAGGAAAUUUUAGUUUCCAAAUGAAGUAGGUUUAUAAACAUAUCAAUUGCCUUAAAUUUAAUUGAAAUAAAUAAACAAUAAAAAAACACUUGAAUUGAUUAAGGAACAAUUUUUUUAUGCCAAGGGAAGAUGGUGGUGAUAUAUUGAUUUGAGUAAGGAUUUCAUAAUUUCUCAAAAGAAAGAGAAAGAGGAAAAAGCAAGAUUUAUUAAAAGAUAGAUACAUUAGGAUAUCAUAUUCGAAUUUAGUAUUUUUGUUUUCUCUUCUUUAUAAAACUAAAUAAUAGAAAUCAAAUACUUUUACCAACUUCGCAUACUGCACCGUUUCGUUUUUCACUUCGUCUAAUUUUACCUUCAAUUCAUUUGUUUCCUAUUUUAUUUCUUGAAACAUGUAUUGACUAAAGCCUCUGUACCAAUGUUUCAGGACAUGGAGAGGUAGCCGUCCUCCUCCGGCCUCUCCUCCGGUCACAUAAGCUUCUCAACUAUCUGGCUCAUCGUGGGUCUUGAGUCCCUGUCUUCCUCCACACAUUCCAAGGCAACUCCAAUCAGAAUUUCCAUCCGGCGCAGGUCGCAUUCGCCUUGCAUCACAGGGUCCAGGAUGUCUUCAAUCCACGACCCCCUGGCACCAAUCCCAUUCAUUCGAUCCCUCACCCAUUUAAUCAACCCACGCUGCUCUGUCUCUCCUUGGGCAUCAGUAUCGGGGAUAGCAGUUGGGCUCUUCCCUGUCACCAUCUCCAAAACCACGAUUCCAUAGUUAUAAACGUCUACCUUGGAGGUUAUGGGAAGGUUGAAUACCCAUUCAGGAGCCAUGUAUCCUCUGGUUCCUCUGAUCCUCGAGAAACUUGAAUUGUCAAGCCCUCCUCUGUUUCGCAGUUUCGACAUCCCAAAAUCGGCCACUUUUGGCUGGUAAUUAGAGUCCAAGAGUAUGUUCUGAGGCUUGACGUCACAGUGCAGAACCCACUCCAAGCAUUCUUCGUGUAAAUAAGCUAGGCCUCUGGCCGUGCCAAGCGCUAUUUGGAACCUCUUCUCCCAAUCAAGAGUAUUGGAAGAUAGCUUUUGUGCCAAGGAUCCAUGUUCCAUGUACUCAUACACCAACAGCCGGUGCUUCCCCUCUAUGCAAUAUCCCCACGUCUCUAUUAAGUUCAUGUGAUUAAGCCUUCCAAUGGUGCUCACUUCUGCUAGAAAUUCUGCUUCUCCUUGAUUGGCUUCUUUGAGGCGCUUGAUUGCUGCCACUCGACGAUCAAGCAAUACACCUUUAUAUACCACUCCUCCACCUCCUCUUCCAAUCUCUUGGGUGAAACCUCGCGUGGCCUUCUUCAACUUUGCAUAGCUGAAUCUUUUAAACCCGUUUGCAACGAGGAUGUAGCCUUGCAUGGUCGAGACUGGAUCAUGGUGUACCCUAAAUAAGAAAAGCCAUACCAGCAAGACAAUUGCCCCCUCUAGAACUCCCAGUACGUAGGCAAACCAAAGCAAAAACUUCAAUGACCCAUUUUCAUGGCCCUUGCGAUAUGUUGUAUCUAGCUGUAUAUAACGAGUGUUGCCUGAACAAUUCAUGGUGAAUUCUUCAAGAGUGUUGGAAAUCAAGCCAGCAUCCUCUGUUUACUUCCCUAAUUAGUGUAAUGUACAGCCUUUAUUAUAAUUGAUUUAGGAGUAAUUCUAGCAAGGUAGUUUAUUCACUUUCCAUGUAAGAGUAGUUUAUUCACUUCCCAUGUAAGAGUAGUUUAUUCACUUCCCAUGUAAGAGUUUAUUCACUUUCCAUGUAAGGGAAAUUCCAUUCCGGAAUUGUCUCAUAUCUGUAGGCUAUUUAUUUAUGCUUUCAUUCAUUGUAAAGGGUGAGAUCACGGAAUGAAUUGAGGUGUUCCUCCAUAGUUUGUCUUCAAAUUCUUCAUAUUUUUCUUCAAAUUCUUCAAAGAUGAUCAUAUCUGGGAAAGAGACUAGCUUUAGGCAGUUUUAGAUACAUGGUUCCAGGAUAAUUUGGCGAACUGAAUCCAUUAAGCAAGAGGGUAUUUGGGUAACAAUCGUAAAGGUCGUCGCUAAAAUUUAGCAGGAAGGCCUUGCAUUUGCACAACUGUAAGCAUAGAUUUUCACACCUUUCGUAGGUGUAAUUGGGGUAGUGACCAUAGUCAUAGCCGUAGAGUUGAACAUGAGGGAGUGGGAAGAAGCCCACCUCAGUUUGGUUACAAGCGAUAUCAGUUUCUGGUGCACACCCAUAAGACUAGUCAGUUGAAUUUACAAUCUUGAAUCCAGGCAUGCAAGAGCAUCCUCUGCCAUAAGCAGGGGUGUAACUGCAGAGACUAUUGGGUUCGCAGAUGCCAUGAAUCUGGCAUGGUUGGGAGAUAGCCUGCCAUGAAACCGACCAGGUUCCUCUCGUUUCUUCUAGACUAUACAUUCUAAGAUUGCCAUCGAAAUCGAGGGCCAAUCUUCUCUGAGGCCCUGCACCAAAAUCCGCUGACCGAAAUUCCAAAUCAUCUGAUGCUCUAUAAUAACCCAAAGAAUCGAAUACUGCGAUUCGACUGUUGUUGUAUGUGCUCCUUCCAGCAUCCCAGGUCACCAGGCUUAGGUCUGGCCAAUAGAUGCUGGAAACCUCAGUACCAUUGAAGAGAAGGCGGAUGACGUUAUCACUGUCAAAAAAUAGCUUAUAAAAACCAGAAGAAUAGUUGCUUUGGCUUCUUGAGGAGAUAAGGCUGGUAUCUUUGGUCAGUAUCUGGUGAGGAAGAAGAGUAUCUGUGGGUGAGUCAAAGCUCUGCCAAAUCACCGUCUUCUCCCAAGCAUAUAGAACAAGAUUGCCGGUGUUAAGGAGCUGUAAUCUCGCAGAUGAGGUUGAAACUGUCACGCCCCAAGACCCACUCCAAGGGCGUGACGGUCAUUUCACACCUCAAACCCGAAGGCUUAAAGUAUAAUCUGACCCGAACAAUCAUAUUAUAACUAGAUGUUACCAAUUACCAAAUACCUGUUCAGAGUAGCAGAACAAAAUCUAAAUUCCUCAAAAUUCAAUUUCCAAAUAACUUCCAAAUAUCAAAUGAUCCAAAUGAACAUAACUAACAGUUAAACAAAAUCCAACAUAAAAUCCUAAGUCAAAUCUUAAUGAUGACCAUUCUUCAGCCUAGCCAUCACUCCUCACCCGAACUAAGAGUACCUGAAAAUUUUCAACAAUUGGGAAUGAGCUCACAGCCCAAUAAGGAAUAUUAAUGCAAUUCAUGGAUCAAAUAUUUUCAUUUCAAAUAGGAGAUAUCAAUUUUUUUUUUUCUCAUCAAAUAUCAGAGUUCCAAAAAUACCAAUAUAUUCAAAAUUCAACCAACCAAUUUCAUAUCAAAUUCAAACACUUUCACAUAAAAUUCAAUCAAAUUCAUUCAAGUUUCAUUACUCUGGUUAUCAAAUAUCAAAUGCCCAGUUAGGUGGGACUUUUCAAAUGGGUGGCUAGCCUCAAAUUGUUCCUGGUGGACGGAACCUAAACACNNNNNNNNNNNNNNNNNNNNNNNNNNNNNNNNNNNNNNNNNNNNNNNNNNNNNNNNNNNNNNNNNNNNNNNNNNNNNNNNNNNNNNNNNNNNNNNNNNNNCCGAACUAAGAGUACUGAAAAUUUUCACAAUUGGGAAUGAGCUCACAGCCCAAUAAGGAAUAUUAAUGCAAUUCAUGGAUCAAAUAUUUUCAUUUCAAAUAGGAGAUAUCAAUUUUUUUUUUUCUCAUCAAAUAUCAGAGUUCCAAAAAUACCAAUAUAUUCAAAAUUCAACCAACCAAUUUCAUAUCAAAUUCAAACACUUUCACAUAAAAUUCAAUCAAAUUCAUUCAAGUUUCAUUACUCUGGUUAUCAAAUAUCAAAUGCCCAGUUAGGUGGGACUUUUCAAAUGGGUGGCUAGCCUCAAAUUGUUCCUGGUGGACGGAACCAAACACUACUAGUACUAGUAACCUCUAACCAAACCCCUAGAGGCUGGGGUCCAAAUCAAUUACAUUCCCACCAUGAAAUGUAAAGGUCAACUAUUAUAUCCCGUUGAUAGGGCCGAAUAGUCAAUUAUUAUAUCCCGUUGACAAGGGUCAAAUAAACCAGAGUGAUGUUUUUGUUCAAGUUUUCAAAUUUACACAACAUAAUAUCUCCAUAUUUUGUGUCAUAAAUAAAACAAAAUAUUCCAACAUAACAUUUAGUGCAAAACAAUUUGAUCCAUGCAUGGUAACAAAAUAUCAUUUUCUUUUCCACAAUUCAAAAUAACAUAUAAGAUAAUUUAAUUUUAUAAAUAUUACAUUAACUUCCCUUACCUCAAAAGAAGUCCUUGAAAGCUUGGGAGAAGAAUAAUUCUGAAAAAAAAAAUAUAAUCUACUCUUCACCUAAUAUAACAUAAAAGAAACAAUUAUUACUAUUUAUUUAUAAUUUAACUAAUCUAUUCCUUAUUAAAAAAAAAUUAAAAAAUUCCCAAUUGGUUUUUAAUAUACCAUUACUAAUUUAAUUAAAUAAUACCUUUAUUUGGCUAUAAAAUUCUAUAUUUAUAUAUUUAUAUAUGGCUAAUUUUCUUUUUCUUUUUUUACCAAAAAUACCAUUUUUAUUUUUUUUUUAUUUAAAAAUUUAAAACUAAUUUUUUUUUUUUAAUUACCCAAUUCCAACCCAUCCACCUUGGGGUACACCAAACCAAAAAGCAAGUUUUUAUUUUUAUUUUUUAUUUUUUUUUCAUUCCCAACCAGGAUCCAUUAAUAUAUAUAUAUAUAUAUAUAUAUAAAAGGGGCUUCCUGGCACACGCACCUUUUUUUUUUUUUUUUAAUAAAAUUAACCCUAACCUAAAAUCAAAACCUUCCAAGAAAUUUUUUUUUUUUUCUAAUAAAACUUAAGAUCUCCCAAAUUCCAAUACUAAAAUCAAAAUAUUAAAUUUUCACUAUUUGAUAUUAAAACGAAUUAAAAAAAUAAUCUAACCCUAAUCUAGAUUUGGGGUUUUCCAAAAAAAUAUAUCUAAUGUGUUUGAAAUUAAUCAAUGAAUCUAAAAUAUUAAACUAGGGGUUAGAAUCUUACCUAUAGAGAUCUGUUCUUCAACCCUGAAAUCUGACUCCAAUCUUACGUUCUCUGGAAUUCUACGAACAGGAAAUCUAUUCAGAAAAAAAGGGAAAAAAAUAAAAUUUCUAAUUUAUACCUAGGGUAUUUAUUCGUAAAAUUACACUUUUACCCUUCUUCCACUUUAUUAAAUUAAUUAAUUAAUUAAUUUAAUUAUUAAUAACAAUUUCCUAAAUUACCCUUAAAAGAAAAUGCUUGGGCAUUACAUCCUCCCCUCCUUAACAAAAGUUUAGUCCUCUAAACUUGACAUACCUGAGUCUUGAAAUAAUUGAGGAUGUUUUUCUCUCAUCUCUUCUUCUAACUCCCAAGUGGCCUCUCGGAUACUAUGAUUGCUCCACUGGACCUUUACCAACUUGACAACAGCAUGUCGUAGUACCUUAUCCAUCAUAUCCACAAUUUGAACGGGUACCUCUUCAUAGGUCAAGUCCUCAAAAUUUUGAAUAGGCUCCAACUCCACAACAUGAGAAGGAUCAUAAAUAUACUUCCUUAGAGUCGAAACAUGAAACACAUUAUGAACCUUAGACAAGCUUGGGGGCAAGACUACUUUAUAUGCCAAAGUGCCUACUCUUUCUAAUAUUUCAAACGGACCCACAAAACGAGGACUAAGUUUUCCUUUUCUCCCAAAUCUCAUCACAUACUUCAUAGGUGAAACUUUCAAGAACACAUGAUCACCCACCUCAAACUCCAAAUCUCGCCUACGAUGAUCAGCAUAACUCUUAUGUCUACUUUGAGCUGCUUUUAAUAUUUCUUUAAUCAAAGCAACCUUUUCAACAGUCAACUGCACAAGUUCAGGCCCCAAAAGUUUCCUUUCUCCAACAUCAUUCCAAUAGAUAGGAGAUCGACAUUUCCUACCAUACAAUGCCUCAAAAGGUGUCAUCCCAAUGCUAGCUUGAAAACUAUUGUUAUAGGCAAACUCUACUAAAGGUAAAUGAUCAUCCCAAUUACCUUGCAGGUCCAAAAUACAAGCUCUCAACAAGUCUUCCAAAACCUUAAUUACCCUUUCUGAUUGGCCAUCAGUUUGAGGAUGGAAAGCAGUACUAAAACUCAACUUAGUGCCCAAAGUUUUUUGUAGACUAUGCCAGAAUCUAGAAGUGAAACGAGGAUCUCUAUCAGACACUAUAGAAACUGGUACUCCAUGCAUUCUCACAAUCUCCUUCACAUAAAGAGAAGCUAAACGAUCUAAAGAAAAGUUCACUUUCAUAGGUAAAAAGUGAGCAGACUUUGUCAACCGAUCAACAAUCACCCAAAUAGCAUUAUUACCCCCUAAGGUUCUUGGCAAUCCUAUCACAAAAUCCAUGGUAAUAUGCUCCCACUUCCACUCAGGAAUAGCAAGUGGCUGCAAAGACCCUGCUGGUCGUUGAUGUUCAGCCUUCACCUGUUGACACACUAAAUACUGAGCCACAAAUUGUGCAAUAUCACGCUUCAUACCUGACCACCAAUAGUUUUGCCUCAAAUCCUUGUACAUCUUUGUCCCUCCUGGGUGGAUUGCAAACUUGGAACAAUGAGCUUCCUCUAAAAGCUCCCUCUUUAAGUCUUCAUCAUUUGGGACACAAAGUCUAGUCCCAAAUCUCAAGAUCUCAUCAUCUGACAAAACAAAAUCAGGCUUACUGUCCCUCUUAACUUCCUCCAUAACUUGCACUAAUUGGGAAUCAUUCUUUUGUAGGGUCUUAAUUCUCCCAACUAAGUCUGGUUGUACUCUGAAAUUUGCUACAAGUGCUCCUAAGCCCAUAACUCGAAAGUGGACUUGUAAACUCCUCAACUCUUCAAGUAACUGCCUUUGACAACCUCUAAUAGCUGCUAGAGAACCAACUGACUUCCUACUCAAGGCAUCAGCUACAACAUUCGCCUUCCCAGGAUGAUACUGAAUAAUACAAUCAUAGUCCUUAAGUAGUUCUAUCCAUCUUCUCUGUCUUAUGUUCAACUCCUUUUGGGAAAAUAGAUACUUCAAACUCUUAUGAUCUGUGAAUAUCUCACAAGUUUCACCAAAAAGAAAAUGUCUCCAAAUCUUAAGUGCAAAAACCACAGCAGCUAACUCCAAAUCAUGAGUAGGGUAAUUCCUUUCAUAAGGCUUCAACUGUCUAGAAGCAUAAGCUACAACUCUCCCAUGUUGCAUAAGAACACAACCUAAACCCUGAUGAGAAGCAUUACUAUACACCACAAAUCCUCCUGAACCUGAAGGGAUAGUCAAAAUAGGAGCUGACACUAAUCUAUUCUUCAACUCUUGGAAGCUACAUUCACAAUCAUCAGACCACUCAAACUUAACUCCCUUCUGUGUCAACUUAGUUAAAGGUAGGGCAAUCUUAGAGAACCCUUCUAUAAACCGCCUAUAGUAACCAGCAAGUCCCAAGAAACUUCGAAUCUCAGUCACAGUACUAGGUCUUCUCCAAUUAGCUACAGCAUCUACCUUGCCAGGGUCAACUGAGAUGCCAUCAUUGCUUACCACAUGCCCAAGGAAAGAAAUUCAGUCUAACCAAAACUCACACUUCUUCAGUUUAGCAUACAACUGCUUAUCUCUGAGGAUAUGUAAUACAAUACUCAAAUGGCCCUCAUGCUCCUCUCUACUUCUUGAGUAUACCAAGAUGUCAUCUAUAAAAACCACCACAAAUUGAUCUAAAUAGGGUUUGAAUACCCUAUUCAUCAAGUCCAUAAAAGCAGCAGGUGCAUUAGUCAAACCAAAAGGCAUAACAAGAAACUCAUAGUGCCCAUACCUAGUUCGAAAAGCAGUCUUGGGUACAUCUUCCCCUCUAACCCUCAACUGGUGAUAACCCGAUCAAAGAUCUAUCUUAGAGAACACACAAGCACCUUGUAACUGAUCAAACAAAUCAUCAAUCCGAGGAAGGGGAUACUUGUUCCUCACUAUCACCUUAUUCAACUCCCUAUAGUCAAUGCAAAGUCUCAUUGAGCCAUCCUUCUUUUUCACAAAUAGAACAGGAGCUCCCCAAGGUGAAACACUAGGCCUGAUAAAACCCUUGUCUAAUAACUCUUGAAGCUGAACUUUCAACUCCUUAAGCUCCACAGGUGCCAUCCUGUAUGGGGCCUUAGACAUAGGACCUAUUCCUAGUACUAGAUCAAUGGUGAACUCCACCUCUCUCUCUGGUGGCAAGCCAGACAAAUCCUCUGGAAAGACAUCAGGAUACUCUCUUACUAUAGGUAUGUCUUCCAACUUCAAAUCACUUUCAUUACUCACCAUACUAGCCAAAAAUCCUUGGCAACCCUUCUUAAGCAAGCUACUAGCACGCAAGGCUGAGAUCAUACGCAGUGGUCUGUCCACAUGCUUCCCUUCAAAGCUAAACUUAGGCUGACCAGGAAUACUAAAUGUCACUCUUUUCUCAAAACAGUCAACAGAGGCAUGGUAGGAAGCUAACCAAUCCAUACCCAAAAUCACAUCAAAAUCCUGAAGGUCAAGGAGUACUAAAUCAACUGGCAUUUCCCUAUAACCAAUCAUCACAAUACAAUUUCUAAGCAUUCUACUGGCCACAACAGAAUCUCCCACAGGAGUAGCAACAAUCAAAUCAAAGUCCAUGCUAACAACAGGCAAACCCAACAAACCAGCAAAAGAUACUGAAACAAAAGAGUGUGUUGAUCCAGGAUCAAUCAGACUCUAGCAAAUAAGGUGUGGAUUCGGAGAGUACCUGUCACCACAUCAGAAGUGGCCUGAGCAUCUCGAUGAGUCAUAGCAAACACCCGUCCUUGGGCUUUGGGUUUCUGUUUUAUCUCCUUAUUUUCCUCUUUAAGCUUCCCAGUGAUGAACUUACCUAUUCCUCUGAUCAAAUGUCCUUGCNNNNNNNNNNNNNNNNNNNNNNNNNNNNNNNNNNNNNNNNNNNNNNNNNNNNNNNNNNNNNNNNNNNNNNNNNNNNNNNNNNNNNNNNNNNNNNNNNNNNGUGAUAACCCGAUCGAAGAUCUAUCUUAGAGAACACACAAGCACCUUGUAGCUAAUCAAACAAAUCAUCAAUCCGAGGAAGGGGAUACUUAUUCCUCACUGUCACCUUAUUCAACUCCCUAUAGUCAAUGCAAAGUCUCAUUGAGCCAUCCUUCUUUUUUACAAAUAGAACAGGAGCUCCCCAAGGUGAAACACUAGGCCUGAUAAAACCCUUGUCUAAUAACUCCUGAAGCUGAACUUUUAACUCCUUAAGCUCCAUAGGUGCCAUCCUGUAUGGGGCCUUAGACAUAGGACCUGUUCCUGGUACCAGAUCAAUGGUGAACUCCACCUCUCUCUCUGGUGGCAAGCCAGGCAAAUCCUCUGGAAAGACAUCAGGAUACUCCCUUACUAUGGGUAUGUCUUCCAACUUCAAAUCACUUCCAUUACUCACCACACUAGCCAAAAAUCCUUGGCAACCCUUCUUAAGCAAGCUACUAGCUCGCAAGGCUGAGAUCAUACGCAGUGGUCUGUCCACAUGCUUCCCUUCAAAGCUAUACUUAGGCUGACCAGGAAUACUAAACGUCACCCUUUUCUCAAAACAGUCAACAGAGGCAUGGUAGGAAGCUAACCAAUCCAUCCCCAAAAUCACAUCAAAAUCCUGAAGGUCAAGGAGUACUAAAUCAACUGGCAUUUCCCUAUAACCAAUCAUCACAAUACAAUUUCUAAGCAUUCUACUGGCCACAACAGAAUCUCCCACAGGAGUAGCAACAAUCAAAUCAAAGUCCAUGCUAACAACAGGCAAACCCAACAAACCAGCAAAAGAUACUGAAACAAAAGAGUGUGUUGAUCCAGGAUCAAUCAAGACUCUAGCAAAUAAGGUGUGGAUUCGGAGAGUACCUGUCACCACAUCAGAAGUGGCCUGAGCAUCUCGAUGAGUCAUAGCAAACACCCGUCCUUGGGCUUUGGGUUUCUGUUUAUCCUCCUUAUUUUCCUCUUUAAGCUUCCCAGUGAUGAACUUCCUAUUCUCUGAUCAAAUGUCCUUGCUUCCCACAACCAAAGCAAGCUCCAGUCUCUCUAUAGCAUGGCCUACCCCCAUGCUUCUUACCACAAGUAGGACAAGCCCCAUCUAAAUUCUGCGCUGCCUUCCCUUUAUUCUGAUUUCUUCCUGAUGUAGACCUUCGCUGUGCUUGAUUACCAUGAGCACCAUCACUCCUAUUUCGCUUCCUUUGCUGUUCCCUAUACUGAUGAAGCUCUUCAUUAUCUUUCUCUGUUAUAAGGGCUCUGUCAACAACCUCUGAAUAGACACCAAGCUUCAGAAUAGAUAUCUUGUUCUUCAAAUAAGGCUUCAAUCCAUCCUGAAACUUUAAUGCCUUUUCCUCCUCUAUAGCAAUCAACUGUGGGGAAAAACGUGAUAACUUUGUAAAUUUGGCCUCAUACUGAGCCACAGUCAUAUCCCUCUGUUCCAAACGAAUAAACUCUCCCACCUUCUGCCACCUAACACUGUCAGGGAAAUACUUCUUGUAGAAAGCCUCCCUAAAUUGUCUCCAUGUUAUGGGUCCCUGAUCCUCCAAAAGUCUCUUAGUCAUACGCCACCAAUGAUCUGUCUCUUUAUCUAACAUAAAAGCUGCAUAAGAGGCUUUUUGCUCCUCAGAGCAAUCUAUGACACCAAAGAAUUUCUCCAUCUUAAGGAUCCAAGCCUCUGCCUCUGUGGGAUCUGUAGCACCAGAAAAGUAAGGAGGACCCAAUUUCUUGAAGUCAUCAAAAGAGCUACCCCUAGAAGAUGAAGACUGUCCCUGAACAUUAGUCCCAACAGCUCGAGCUUGGCGUUCAACUAAACCAACUAGUGUCCCAAGAUACCUAUAGAUCCCUUCUGCACUCACGGGAGGCAAACCCUCAAUUGGAGGUACAUCGUCAUUAGCCUGACUGUUUUGUGAAGAAGUUGUUCUUCUUGGUGGCAUGAUGUCCUAAAAUAAUAAGGCAUAACUAAAUUAGUCACUAAAGAACCAAUUAGAAAAUUUUCCAAUUAAAGAAAGAAUUGGAAUUUAUACUAAAUGAAACUAAAACUUAAACAAAUGCGUUACUCAUCUAUCCCUAAUCUAAACCAAUUCAAAUUCCCAUCAAGAUCAAAACCUAGUGCUCUGAUACCACUCUGUCACGCCCCAAGACCCACUCCAAGGGCGUGACGGUCAUUUCACACCUCAAACCCGAAGGCUUAAAGUAUAAUCUGACCCGAACAAUCAUAUUGUAACUAGAUGUUACCAAUUACCAAAUACCUGUUCAGAGUAGCGGAACAAAAUCUAAAUUCCUCAAAAUUCAAUUUCCAAAUAACUUCCAAAUAUCAAAGAUCCAAAUGAACAUAACUAACAGUUAAACAAAAUCCAACAUAAAAUCCUAAGUCAAAUCCUAAUGAUGACCAUUCUUCAGCCUAGCCAUCACUCCUCACCCGAACUAAGAGUACCUGAAAAUUUUCAACAAUUGGGAAUGAGUUCACAGCCCAAUAAGGAAUAUUAAUGCAAUUCAUGGAUCAAAUAUUUUCAUUUCAAAUAGGAGAUAUCAAUUUUUUUUUUUCUCAUCAAAUAUCAGAGUUCCAAAAAUACCAAUAUAUUCAAAAUUCAACCAACCAAUUUCAUAUCAAAUUCAAACACUUUCACAUAAGAUUCAAUCAAAUUCAUUCAAGUUUCAUUACUCUGGUUAUCAAAUAUCAAAUGCCCAGUUAGGUGAGACUUUUCAAAUGGGUGGCUAGCUUCAAAUUGUUCCUGGUGGACGAAACCAAACACUACUAGUACUAGUAACCUCUAACCAAACCCCUAGAGGCUGGGGUCCAAAUCAAUUACAUUCCCACCAUGAAAUGUAAAGGUCAACUAUUAUAUCUCGUUGACAGGGCCGAAUAGUCAACUAUUAUAUCCCGUUGACAAGGGUCAAAUAAACCAGAGUGAUGUUUUUGUUCAAGUAUUCAAAUGUACACAACAUAAUAUCUCCAUAUUUUGUGUCAUAAAUAAAACAAAAUAUUCCAACAUAACAUUUAGUGCAAAACAAUUUGAUCCAUGCAUGGUAACAAAAUAUCAUUUUCUUUUCCACAAUUCAAAAUAACAUAUAAGAUAAUUUAAUUUUAUAAAUAUUACAUUAACUUCCCUUACCUCAAAAGAAGUCCUUGAAAGCUUGGGAGAAGAAUAAUUCUGAAAAAAAAAUAUAAUCUACUCUUCACCUAAUAUAACAUAAAAGAAACAAUUAUUACUAUUUAUUUAUAAUUUAACUAAUCUAUUCCUUAUUUAAAAAAAAACUAAUAAAUUCCCAAUUUGUUUCUAAUAACACAUUACUAAUUUAAUUAAAUUAUAACUUUAUUUCGCUAUAAAAUUAUAUAUAUAUAUAUAUAUAUAUAUUGCUAAAUCUCUUAUUCUAUUUAUUACAAAAAUACCAUUAUUACUAUUAUCUUAUUUAUAAAUCUAAAACUAAUUAUUAUUAUUUAAUUAACCAAUUCCAAACCACUCAACCUCGGGUACACCAAACCAAAAAGCAAGUUUUUAUUUUUAUUUUUUAUUUUUUUUCAUUGCCAAUCAUGAUCCAUUAAUAUAUAUAUAUAUAUAUAAAAGGGGCUUCCUGGUACACGCACCUUUUUUUUUUAAUAAAAUUAACCCUAACCUAAAAUCAAAACCUUCCAAGAAAUUUUUUUUUUUUUCUAAUAAAACUUAAGAUCUCCCAAAUUCCAAUACUAAAAUCAAAAUAUUAAAUUUUCACUAUUUGAUAUUAAAACGAAUUAAAAAAAUAAUCUAACCCUAAUCUAGAUUUUGGGUUUUCCAAAAAAAUAUAUCUAAUGUGUUUGAAAUUAAUCAAUGAAUCUAAAAUAUUAAACUAGGGGUUAGAAUUUUACCUAUAGAGAUCUGUUCUUCAACCCUGAAAUCUGACUCCAAUCUUACGUUCUCUGGAAUUCUACGAACAAGAACUAUAUUCAGAAAAGAAGGGAAAAAAAUAAAAUUUCUAAUUUAUACCUAGGGUAUUUAUUCGUAAAAUUACACUUUUACCCUUCUUCCACUUUAUUAAAUUAAUUAAUUAAUUAAUUUAAUUAUUAAUAACAAUUUCCUAAAUUACCCUUAAAAGAAAAUGCUUGGGCGUUACAGAAACGGUGUUGAUCAUCCAAACCAUGAUUUUACCAGCAUCAGUUAAGAUGAGAUUGCCAUUCCUCAACAAAGAAAGCUUGGAGCCUCUACCGUUGACCGGUUGGUCAUGGUUCGCCAUCCAAACUGUGGUUGCACCCCAUGAUUUUGUGAACCAUAUGGCGAAGCAGAAAGUGUUGUUGCCGACCUGAUAAAACCCAGCAGAGAAUAUACCAUUUGCUGAAAUGAGAACAUCAUUUGAUUUCUCCACGGAAAGAGACGAGCCUUCGCUCAGAGUAUCAUACGUUUCAGAUGAAGAUGGAUAGCAAGUUAACAGCAAAACCAAAACAAAGAAACCAACUGUCCUAUCCAUGAGUUUUGGGAUAUGGUUCAUGUGCUCUGUUUCCUGAUCAGAUAUUUGCAAUGGAGAAUGCAAGUGUAUGGUGCUACCAGAGUUUAGAAAAUCAAUUGACUCCUUGACUGGGGUGAAGGGGGAAAAUUCACAUUGCCCCUCGGGCCAAGUUUUGCUUGUGCCAUCGUGUUGGGUUUCUAAAAGCAUUUCAUGUCAACGUCAAAAUAUGGGAUGAAGACCCGCUAUUUUUAAUGGGAUCUAUUUUGAUUGGAUGACUUGGGCCAUUCAAAUUUUGUAGUUUCCACUUGGAACAACAAAAUUAUUAUGAGAUACGUCAUUUUGAAGAAAGAUUCUAGAAAUAAGAUGUUAAAUUGAUCUCUUUUCCAUGUAGCUGAACUCGUCAACUGUGAGUCUGAGCCAUAUGAUUUCUGUGCCAUACAGAAGCUUAUUGUUCCAAGUUGCCUGCUCAAAGGUUAACCUGUGAACAGUUUGGAUCUAAAUACAAUGAAUGUGAUGAAAUUUACUGAAACCGGGACUCUCUGACUGGCCUGUGGCCUUUAUGAGUUUUAUUUUAGAGGUGACGUCUGAUGUUGAUUGGCCCAAGCAGGGAAAGAUCAAAUGGGAAACGACGGUCACAACUUGUGGGGUGACUUUCCACUCACCAGGGAACACUUCAAAGAAAUUAUCCCUAAUUUUUAAACGCUUAAUUAUUGCGAUUCGAGGGGUAAAACAUUUUCUUUUAUUGAAUCAAGAUUGAAUUUAAAAUAAUAGUGUUGGUAUUACUCCCUCUCUUUUAUCCUUUUCUUAUUCUAUCUAAUAGUGGUUUUCUCGCCGCCUUUGUGGGCCAAGAUGAACUAAUGCUAAGAAUUUUAUUCAUCUGCUUUCUUUCAAGACUCACUUAUUGAAUAUAAUAUCUCAAUAAAUAUAGAACCAUAUUUUGAUUAUAUUGGUACAAUUAUUGAUACAACUGUUGGCUCCGCUCAAGUCAUUUUGGCGUGGACUUUUAGGGUAUGGUAGAGUGGAGCUUGUAUCACUACUAAUUAUUAAAAUGGUUAAAGGAUGUCUUUGUCAUUUUAGUGCACAUAUAAUUAUUAUUACAAUUGAGGGUCCUCCAAUAUCCCAUUUUUCCAAUUUUGACUUUUGAUCGGAAAAAAUUUAGUAUACAAGGAUAGGAAAAUAUGCUAAAUAAAAUAAUUUUCUCAUAUUUAGGUUUAUUAAAAAUUAUAAAAAAUAAUAUAAUAUAAUAUAAUUAAAAAGUUAUGUAUUUUUAAAUUAGAUAAUUUUUUUAUAAAACAAUUAAAAUAAGUUAAAUGAGUUUGAAAUUCCAUAUAAAAAUAAUUUAUUGAUUUAAAAUCUAUUUUUAUUUCCUUUAACUUUUUUUCAUAUAUUUUUUUUUUGAAUUUUUCAAAUACUUCAAACAGCUAUUUUUAAGUUUGUAUCUUUGUGAAACUCGUGUAAUCGUGACCCAUGAGAACCUUCAAGUCAUUUUGAUUAUAUUGGUACAAUUAUUGGUACAACUGUUGGCUCCGCUCAAGUCAUUUUGGCGUGGACUUUUAGGUUAUGGUUGAGUGGAGCUUGUAUCACUACUAAUUAUUAAUAUGGUUAAAGGAUGUCUUUGUCAUUUUAGUGCACAUAUAAUUAUUAUUACAAUUGAGGGUCCUCCAAUAUCCCAUAUUUCCAAUUUUGAUUUUUCAAGGUAUGAUCGGAAAAAAUUUAGUAUACAAGGAUAGGAAAAUAUGUUAAAUAAAAUAAUUUUCUUAUAUUUAGUUUUAUUAAAAAUUGUAAAAAAUAAUAUAAUAUAAUAUAAUUAAAAAGUUAUGUAUUUUUAAAUUAGGUAAUUUUUUUAUAAAACAAUUAAAAUAAGUUAAAUGAGUUUGAAAUUUUAUAGAAAAUUAAUUUAUUGAUUUAAAAUCUAUUUUUAUUUUCUUUAACUUUUUUUCAUAUAUAUUUUUUUUUUUGUAUUUUUCAAAUACUUCAAGUAGCACCCCAUUUCCUAUUUUCAAGUUUGUAUCUUCGUGAAACUCAUGUAAUCGUGACCCAUGAGAACCUUCAAGUCAUUUUGAUUAUAUUGGUACAAUUAUUGGUACAACUGUUGGCCCCGCUCAAGUCAUUUUGGCGCGGACUUUUAGGGUAUGGUUGAGUGGAGCUUGUAUAACUACUAAUUAUUAAUAUGGUUAAAGGGUGUCUUUGUCAUUUUAGUGCACAUAUAAUUAUUAUUACAAUUGAGGGUCCUCCAAUAUCCCAUUUUUCCAAUUUUGACUUUUCAAGGUCUGAUCGGAAAAAAUUUAGUAUACAGAGAAAAUAUGAUAAAUAAAAUAAUUUUUUCAUAUUUAGUUUUAUUAAAAAUUGUAAAAAAAUAUAUAUAUAAUUAAAAAGUUAUGUAUUUUUAAAUUAGGUAAUUUUUUUUUAUAAAACAAUUAAAAUAAGUUAUAUGAGUUUGAAACUCCAUAUAAAAAUAAUUUAUUAAUUUAAAAUUUAUUUUUAUUUCCUUUAACUUUUUUUCUUAUAUUUUCUUUCGUAUUUUCCAAAUAUUUCAAAUAGCACUCUAUUCCCAUUUUCAAGUUUGUAUCUUUGUGAAACUCAUUUAAUCGUGACCCAUGAGAACCUUCCCAUAACUACAAAGGAAGGUGGCAACAUAUCAUUGGGAGAGUGUCUUAAGAGCCAAAAUUUGACUAGCGGUUGAAAGGAAAAUGCACAAUUAUUGUAGUGGACAAAUACUUUUAACCUCAUUUGUGGAAGCUAGGUUGUUUUUACAAGGGAAACUUGUGUUCCAAGUUAGAUAUUUGAAAGUAAUAUUAUAUUCAAACCCCAAUUAGCUGGAAUAUGAGAUUUGACUAUUAAAAGAGAAAAUAUUAUUGUGUUUGUGCAUUCUAAGUUGGCUCUAUCUUCUAUGCCCAAAUUGCCCUUUUGUUUCUCUAGCUCAACAUCAUCCUAACCUCUUUGUCAACAGGACCACUAAAAUUAAGAAAAAACACUAAAUUUUGAAUUUUUAACUUCUAAAAAAAAAAACACCCGACCCGACCACUUAAUUUGAAUGUUUUCCUUUCUCAUUUGGAAGCUUUCUCUCAUCUUUCUUCAUUCAUGACAACCCAAAAUUUCUCCUAUUUCAAUUUAGAAACCCAAAUCUGAAACUCUAAAACGGUGUCAAAAUGCGUCUUUUGACGUGCCUCUGGCUCAGAUGCCUCAGCUAGGCGUUUGCCUUGAGCCCUAACCGUAGUUAACUCUCGUCUAGGAGCCACGAGAGUGCAAGAGAAUCCAAUAAAAAUGAAAUGGAGCUCGGGUGGAGAGUAGAUGCCCAAAAACUGAAACCUUAACCUCCAAAUGCGUCUUAGACUCGCAAAUUCAUAUCCAAGAUAGUUCUAUAAGACAGAAAUAGCACCAAACAUCUCUUUUAGACCACCGAAUCGACGAAGCCCUUGAAGAACCAAAGGAAACGGUGCAAAAAAUGAAGCGCGGGAAACUCUUAAAGUAUUGGGUCUUGACAAAAAGAAUAUUAAGAAAAAUAGGUUUUUAAUAUCUUAUUUUAGUAUAAAAAUAAAAAAAUAAGAUAUAAUUAAAAACUUGUAUAUUUUUAAAUUAUUUGAUAUUUAUAUAAAAAAUAAUAUAUUAACUUAAAUAAGUUUAAGAUAGCAUAUAAAAUAAUUUAUCAGCUUUAAAUUUUUUUUUUACUUUUACAUGAUACUUAAAAAGGAAUAUAAAUAGAGAAACAAUAUACUAAAUAAAAUAAUUUUAUCUAUAUAUAAAAAUAAUUUAUUAAUUUAAAAUCUAUUUUUAUUUCCUUUUAACCUUUCUUUCCUUUUUUUUUUUUUUUUUCCAUAUUUUCCAAAUACUUCACAUAGCACUCCACUCCCUAUUUUUUUUUUCUCUCUAAAUUUCAGAAACCAAACAUAAAAUACAAACACUGGUGUAAAGUUUGUAUCUUUGUGAAACUCAUGUAAUCUUGACCCAUAGGAACCUUCCCAUAUAAUUAAAGGAGAAUUACCCAAUAGGGUGGGCUUGGUAAAACAAUUACUAGAAAUGGUAGUCUCUUCUAAUAAUUCUUGGGGAGGAUUUUAAUAGGUUUAAUAUACCAAAACUGUCAUUUAACUAAAAUUUUUAAAAUUCAAAGUAUUUAAAGCACUUCACUUGAUUUGUCGAUACAAUUAUAGUACAUGAGUCUCAUAUUUAUUGUAAUUAUUAAUAUUCAAAUUUUAAAUCAAAAUUUUGGGUUUAACCUUUACAAUUAUAUAUAAUUUGUUAUUUAAAUUUACUAUUUAAAACAAAAAUACUUUUAAAAAGUAUUUUCAAAAUAUCAUUUAUUGUUUUUUUUACAUUUUUUAUUUUUAUUCUAAUUUUUAAUUUUAUUAAGAAAAAAAUAAGUUUUAUAAUUAUAUAAUAAAAAUGAUGAUUUUUUCAUAUAUAUAUAUGUAUAUAUUAUAAUUUUAAAUUGAUAAAUUAUGUUUUUGUUUUAAAUUCAAGGAAGAUAAAAUGUUUAAUUUUUCAUUCAGAUUCUUUAAAAAGAAUAAGAAAAUGAUAGAGAAUGUUUAAUAAUUUUUUAUUUUUAUAAUAAAAUAAUUUUAAAAAAUUUAUAUGAUUUUUUUUCCUUUGCAUAGUGUUUUUUUUUUUUUCAUAUAAAAUUUUUUUUCUCAGUACAUCGACUGGAUGAUGUUAAUAUAUUUGAUAUGUUGAAUAUUAAUAAGGUAUAAAAGGUGAUCAUCGAGAUUAUUACUUUUAUUAUAAAAUAUAGGUACAACAAAAAUAUGUUAUAAUUACCAUAUAAAUACACUUACAUUACAAUAAAACCUAAUUAGGAAAUUUUUGAAUUUUUUUAUAAAAAUGAUAAUUUGGUAAGAUCAUACCAUAUUUUAUAACAUACCUAUAUCAUAAAUAAUUUCUGAAACCAAAUGAAAUACUAAUUUGAAUUCACGAGACUUGUAGUUUAUAUAUAUAAAUGAUUAAAUAAUUUCAAAACACUAAAUAAAUGUUGUUAAUAUAUUGAUACGAUGCGUUAAUACCAACGGGGUAUGAAUAAACAUUUUUAAAAUUAUUCCUUUUGUAAUUAAAUAUAGAUAUGACAUAAAUACAUUAUACUUACAAUAUAAAUACGUGUUAUCAUUACAAUAUAUUACAAUAUAAUUUAAUUUAUUUUUAUUUAAUUUUUUCAAGUGUUAUAUUAUCCAAUGAAUAAUUGUGAGUUAUUCUAUUUAAUAGGUGUGUGUUAAUCAAUUGAAUAUUUACAUAUUAUUCAAUUGAUGAGUGCUCGUAAAAAAUAAUUAUUCAUUAUAUUAUGAUAACAAAGUUUUUAAUUAUAUGUUUUAUAUAUAAAACAAUAUAAUAAUUUUAGGAUAUGGUUUUUAUUUAUGAGAUAAUGAAAAUUAUAUUUUUUUAUAAGGUUCUUUAUAAAAUAUAGCAAAUUUUUAAAUAAUCAUUUGAUUGUUCAAAAGUUAAUAAUAAUUUUUUUAAGCUGAGAAAUAUAUUAUUGAUUACUUAUCAUCAUGCAUGAAUUCCACAACAAUCUCAAUUUAUUUAUAAAUAAUAUAAAAACAUAUUAUAGGUAAAAUUAUCUAUAACCGAGAGAGCCUUCAUAAUAAUUAGUUUUUUGGGCUACCCUGUUCGGUAAUUCUCCGUACAAUUAAUUUCCAGCAAAGGCAGGUGAGUGUUGAGGAGACAAAAUCUGACCCGCUGUUGAAGGGAAAAUGCACAAUUAUUGAAGUGGACGGAAACUUUUAACCUUAUCUGUGGAAGCUGGGUCGUUUUUCAAAACACGAGGCUGCAGCUUGGAACCUGGGGCAUUCUAGCUUUCAUCUUCCCAUGGGAAUUUCUACCCUCCGCACAAGUCAAGAGCAACUUUGUCUUUUCCAUAAAUAUUAGUAUUAUUUGUGUGUUCCUUACCUGAAUUUGAUUCAAGCUUAGCCCUACGGCCUUUUCAACUGAUCCAAUUUCAUAGAUCACAUGGAUGCGCCAGUUCUUUUGCUUCUUCUCACUCUGCUUCUAUCUUCUCCACUUCCAUCGUCCACCCUCGACAGUUUGAGUCAAGGCUCAUCCCUCUCAGUUGGGAAGCCUGAACAAGUUUUGAUUUCACAAAGUGGAAUCUUCUCAGCUGGCUUCUACCCCGUCGGUGAUAAUGCUUGUUGUCUUGCCAUAUGGUUCACCAAACCAUCCUACGACGGCAAACAUACCGCUGUUUGGAUGGCAAACCGAAACCAACCAGUUAAUGGGAAUUUCUCAAAGCUUUCCCUUCUAGAAAGUGGUGAUCUUAUCUUAACAGAUGCUGGGCGGUUCAUAGUUUGGACCAUAAAGAGGGUUGGGAUUUCUCCGGUGCAAUUACACCUCUUCAACACUGGUAACCUUGUGCUGCGUACCUCGGAUGGUGUUAUUCAAUGGCAAAGUUUCGAUUCACCAACAGAUACCCUUCUCCCUCACCAACCACUCACCAGAAAUACGAGACUCGUCUCUUCAAGAACCAAAACCAACUUUUUCUCAGGGUUUUAUAAGCUCUAUUUUGACAACAAUAACGUCCUCAGUCUUGUCUUCGAUGGGCGGGAUGCUUCAAGCAUUUACUGGCCCCCAUCGUGGCUUGUAAGCUGGCAGGCGGGAAGAUCGGCAUACAACAGCAGCAGAACUGCAUUACUAGAUUACUUUGGCUAUUUUUCUUCAACCGACGAUUUUAAGUUUCAGUCCUCGGAUUUUGGUGAGAGAGUCCAAAGAAGAUUGACCCUGGAUAUUGAUGGCAACUUACGAUUAUACAGUUUUGAGGAAGGGAGAAAUAAGUGGGUUGUUACUUGGCAAGCCAUCACGCUACAAUGCAACAUUCAUGGAAUAUGCGGACCCAACAGUAUUUGUACCUAUGUGCCUGGUUCUGGGAGUGGAAGGAGAUGCUCUUGCGUACCUGGAUAUGAGAUGAAAAAUCGCACUGACCGAACUUAUGGAUGCAUACCAAAAUUCAAUCUUUCUUGCGACUCACAGAAGGUUGGUUUCCUCCCACUCCCACACGUUGAGUUCUACGGCUAUGAUUAUGGCUAUUACCUCAAUUACACCUUACAGAUGUGUGAAAAACUGUGCUUGAAAAUAUGUGGCUGCAUAGGAUAUCAAUACAGCUAUAAUUCGGAUGUUUAUAAAUGUUGUCCUAAGCGGCUGUUUCUCAACGGAUGCCGCUCGCCUAGUUUUGGAGGACAUACAUAUCUAAAAUUGCCUAAAGCUAGUCUUCUUUCCUAUGAAAAACCAGUUGAGGAAUUCAUGUUAGAUUGCUCAGGCAACCGCUCAGAGCAGCUAGUAAGAUCUUAUGCAAAAGCCCGCGAAAAUGAAGUGUUAAAGUUCAUCCUCUGGUUUACGUGCGCAAUUGGAGCAGUUGAGAUGAUUUGCAUCAGUAUGGUGUGGUGUUUCUUGAUGAAGGCCCAGCAAAACACCAGUACAGAUCCGCCAGGCUACAUUUUAGCUGCCACGGGAUUCAGAAAAUUCACCUAUAUUGAGCUGAAGAAAGCAACACGGGGUUUCAGUGAGGAGAUUGGCAGAGGAGGGGGUGGGGUUGUAUAUAAAGGUGUCUUAUCAGACCACCGAGUGGCAGCCAUCAAGCAGCUCAGUGGAGCUAACCAAGGAGAAUCUGAAUUCUUGGCAGAAGUAAGUACCAUUGGGAGGCUUAACCACAUGAACUUGAUAGAGAUGUGGGGUUAUUGCUUUGAGGGGAAGCACAGGCUCUUGGUUUAUGAAUACAUGGAGCAUGGAUCACUAGCACAAAACCUCACUUCCAAUACACUUGAUUGGCAGAAGAGGUUCGAUAUUGCGGUGGGCACAGCAAAAGGUCUGGCUUAUUUACACGAAGAGUGCUUGGAGUGGGUUAUACACUGCGAUGUGAAGCCUCAAAACAUACUCCUAGACUCUAAUUAUCAGCCAAAGGUGGCAGACUUCGGCCUGUCAAAGUUACAGAACAGAGGAGGAAUCAACAAUUCGAGAUUGUCGAGGAUCAGAGGAACGAGAGGUUACAUGGCUCCAGAAUGGGUUUUGAACCUCCCCAUCACCUCCAAAGUAGACGUUUAUAGCUAUGGUAUUGUGGUUCUGGAGAUGAUUACCGGCCUAAGAAGUGUUGCAAAUGCCAUCCACGGUACAGAUGGCAUAGGGGAACGUCAGAGUUUGGUGGCAUGGGUGAAAGGGAAGAUGAAUAGUGCAACUGCAGUUGCUUCGUGGAUUGAAGAAAUCCUAGACCCGUCGAUGGAAAGCCAAUAUGACAUGGGUGAGAUGGAAAUUCUAGUAGCAGUGGCUCUGCAAUGUGUGGAAUUGGACAAGGAUGAAAGACCCACCAUGAGUCAGGUGGUCGAGACGCUUCUCCGCCCUGAACGUGGAAACAAUCAUCACUAUUAAUAAAUCAAUGCCUCGUAUGGGGCCCAAGUGAAGUGGCUUUCUAUACCUAUUCCGCCCAUUUAUGAUAUUUGUAAAAAAACAGAGUAAUUUUAUUCCCAAUAUCUCUCCUUGGUGCUCUUAUCUUAUUAAACUCCUUUUUUUUUUUUUGCAAUAUUAACUAUUAUAUUUUAUAAAAUCCUUUUUAAAAUUUGUUGAAUUUGAUCUAUUUUAUCCUCACAUAAUUUGUAGCAGGAGAAGUUUUUCUCCUCAUCAUAGAACAAAUUCUUAUAUAUGUAGUAUACAUAUAUGAAAGGUAUAAAUGGUUUUAGCUUUAGUUGAUAUCAUAUAAUUUCUCAUUGAAUCUAUUCUAAUGUGACUUUAAAAUUUUUCAAAAUAUAAAUCAAUUCCUCUUCCUUUGUGUGUUAGUGAAUGAAUUAGUUUAAAUGUCAUAGGUUUUGACUUUUUAGACAGCUAUUUAACCUAUUUUAAAUAGCUCUGCAUCACACCAUCACUUCAACCUUCCUUGACAUUUUUUUAUUUAUUUAUUUUAAUUACCUUUGGAUGGUAUCAUUGCUCGGAAAAAUUUGAUGAAUGUAAAAGGGAAAUGGAAAAUCGUGGGGCACACAUACAUUAUGGAGUCAAAAUCUUUGAAAGAUGUAAAAUUGUCGUGCAAUUCAAUCUAAUGUAGAUGGACAAAAAUGUCAUCUUAUUGAUCAAGCAUAGAUGGAAAAUCAAAUGAAUGAGCCACCCUGCAAAUGUUUAUUUUCAAGUAUUUCUUUUUUUUUUUCAACUUAAGACCUCUUUUUGGAAAUUUAUUAUUAAAAAUAUUUUAAUCUCUAAUUUUUUAUAAGUGUCUUUUCAUAAGCAUGUUGAUUAGAAAGAAACAAAAAUAUAUUUUUAAAUUAUUUAAUCUAACACAAGAAAGACAAGUAAAAUUUUAUAAAAAUAAUUUAUUAAUUUUAAAUUUAUAUUUUAUUUUCAUUCAUUUGACAUACCUUCAAUAAUUAGUAUAAAUUAAUAUAAAUGUUUUAUAUAAUUCGUUUACAUGCAUUGUAUAUUAUGUACAAACAGGAACAAAAUGAAUGAGCCACUGUAUGUGACAAAUAAAUACAUUUUUAUAAAAUCUAAAUUUAAUUUUAUAGUAUAUGACAUGGAUUCUGGCGUCAUCUUCCACAUCACUGAACUUCUUCUUUACCUAUUUCAUUGUUCUCUGCUUCCAACGCUUCCCACUAUGAACGUCUCUAGAAAAAACUGUCCGGUGUGGCUCUCCUCUUGGCUCUACCACAGUUGAGAUUUUCGGCUUGAUGCCUUCGCUCUAUCUCAGGUGGUCGGCUUUGGAGCAUGGAUGGCUGCAGAUCUGCCAAGUUGUUGGCCAUGAAUCUCCCGAAUCCACUUGCUGCUAACCGUUUGUAUUAUUCAAUUGUUGAAGGCCGAUUUGAGUUGAAAGGCCAAUGGGCCAUGGGAAGCAAUGGUUGCUUCACCCAAUUUUUUAAAAUUCGUUUUAAGUAAUACCAAAAUUUUUAUUGUAUGAAGUAUUGAUGUUAUUAUUAUCUUUUCAUAUUGAUUUUAUUUUUUAAUUUUUUUUUCUUAGGAUUUUUUUUCUUUUCACUUUUUCUCCCACCUUUCUUUUAUUUAUAUUUUCUCAUAAUCAAAUAUGGCCUUAAAUUUAAUCGCAAGCAAAGUGUUAUGUAGACAAUUAAUAUGUUCUUACUAUUUUGCUUUUAUGGCCAUUAAAUUUAAGGACUUCAGGUGAUGGCAAUAGGGUGAUUUUUUUUAGGUAAUAGUCCAACCUGCUUCUAAUAGGAUGAGUUUGAAAUUUAAAUAAAUGAGUUUGAAGUAAAUUUAAGUUUUUUUAAACUCAAAAUGAGUUUGGAUAUUGUCACAUCCCAAUUAUAUAUAAAAUUAAUUUAAUUUGAUUUUUUAUUUUUUUAUUUUUAAUAAUAAUAAUAAUAAAAAAAUACUUUUUUAAUAAAAUAAGUUAUAAAAAUUUAUAAUAAUCUAAUUAUAUAAAAUAUCUUUAUUUUAAUGUAAUUAAAUACUCUAAUAAGUUAUAAAAAUUUAUAAUACUCUAAUUAUAUAAAAUACAUUUUAAAUAAUUUUAAAUGAGGUAAGGUAGGACGAGUAUGAGAAUUUUUUUUACCUAUCCCACCCCGUCCUGUCAUGUUUAAUUUUUUUAAUGGUACAAGGUUGGAAUAUGUGCUUUCUAUUCUAAACCGGUCUCAUUAUCAUCCCUUCAUGUGUCUGCAUGAAUAUAAGAUAUUAGUGAAAAGUUUGAAGUAUGAUAUUAAAAAUUCAAUUCACCAUUUAUUUUGUAAUUAUACUUCUAAAUAUAAGCAUGAAAGGGCGAAUUGACAUAAUAGAAGGCCUAACUGCUCAUGUUUUUAUUUAUUUAAAUUAAUAUUUAUUAAUAAUUUAUUUAUGUAAUAAAAAAUUUGUAAUUCAAAAUUUGAUUUUACUAAGUGAAGUACCUGAUGUCCAGAACUGGAGGAACCUAAAGAAAGAGAAGAACAAAAAGUGACACCAAGACAUAUCCCAAAAGCCUAAUGGCCCAUCCCCCUACAAAUUCUAGCUUUAUAAUUAUUGUCCUAAAAGAAAAAGAUGAACAAGUGUUUUUUCGUCAUAUAAUGUUAAAAAAUUAAAGUAUCAAUUUUUUUUUUUUAAACUUUCUACCAAAAAUAAUUUAAUUUCAUAUUUCUAAUUGUUUUUUUUAAACCUUUUGUCACUUAUUAUUUAUUUUUUAAAUAUUUUUACUAAAUUUAAAAAGAAAAAAAUAUAUAUAUUUUAAAUAUUAAAAAUAAUCUAUUAAUUUUUCUUUACUUAAUAAAAAUAAUAUAUUUAAAAAAAUAAAUAACUUAAUAAUUAAUAUUAUUAAACACUAUUUAAUUUUAAAUUCAAUUUACAAUUAAGUUUAAAAAACACCACUUAAAUGUCAUUAUUGCAACGGACAACAACAUUAACUCUACUCUUUUAUAAAAUCUUUUAUUUUAGGAAAUUUUAAUUUCCAAAUGAAGUAGUUAAGAGAAAAAUAAACAUUGUGGUUGAACUUAAUCGAAAUAAAUAAACCAUAAAAAAACACUUGAAUGGAUUAAGGACCCUUUUUUUACGCCAAGGUGGUGGUGAUAUAUUGAUUUGAGUAAGAAUUUUAUAAUUUCCCAAAAGAAAGAUAAAGUGGAAAAGCAACAUUUAUUAAAAGAUAGAUACAUUAGAAUAUCAUAUCUAAAUUUAGUAUUUUUCUUUUCUCUUCUUUAUAAAACUAAAUAAUAGAAAUCAAAUACUUUUUCCAACUUCUCGUACUGAACCGUUUCGUUUUUCAUUUCAUCUAAUUUUACCUUCAAUUCAUUUCUUUCCUAUUUUAUUUCUUGAAACAUGUAUUGACUAAAACCUCUGUACCAAUGUUUCAGGACAUGAAGAGGUAGCCAUCCUGCUCCGCCCUCUCCUCCGGGCACAUAAGCUUCUCAACUACCUGGCUCAUCGUGGGUCUUGAGUCCCUGUCUUCCUCUACACAUUCCAAGGCAACUCCAAUCAGAAUUUCCAUCUGGCGCAUGUCGCAUUCGCCUUGCAUCACAGGGUCCAGGAUGUCUUCAAUCCACGACCCCCUGGCACCAAUCCCAUUCAUUCGAUCCCUCAUCCAUUUAAUCAACCCACGCUGCUCUGUCUCUCCUUGGGCAUCAGUAUCGGAGAUAGCAGUUGGGCUCUUCCCUGUCACCAUCUCCAAAACUACGAUUCCAUAGCUAUAAACGUCUACCUUGGAGGUUAUGGGAAGGUUGAAUACCCAUUCAGGAGCCAUGUAUCCUCUGGGUCCUCUGAUCCUCGAGAAACUUGAAUUGUCAAGCCCUCCUCUGUUACGCAGUUUCGACAUCCCAAAAUCGGCCACUUUUGGCUGGUAAUUAGAGUCCAAGAGUAUGUUCUGAGGCUUGACGUCACAGUGCAGAACCCACUCCAAGCAUUCUUCGUGUAAAUAAGCUAGGCCUCUGGCCGUGCCAAGCGCUAUUUGGAACCUCUUCUCCCAAUCAAGAGUAUUGGAAGAUAGCUUUUGUGCCAAGGAUCCAUGUUCCAUGUACUCAUACACCAAAAGCCGGUGCUUCCCCUCUAUGCAAUAUCCCCACGUCUCUAUUAAGUUCAUGUGAUUAAGCCUUCCAAUGGUGCUCACUUCUGCUAGAAAUUCUGCUUCUCCUUGAUUGGCUUCUUUGAGGCGCUUGAUUGCUGCCACUCGACGAUCAAGCAAUACACCUUUAUAUACCAUUCCUCCACCUCCUCUUCCAAUCUCUUGGGUGAAACCUCGCGUGGCCUUCUUCAACUCUGCAUAACUGAAUCUUUUAAACCCGUUUGCAGCGAGGAUGUAGCCUUGCAUGGUGGAGACUGGAUCAUGGUGUACCCUAACUAAGAAAAUCCAUACCAGCAAGACAAUUGCCGUCUCUACAACUCCCAGUACGAAGGCAAACCAUAGCAAAAACUUCAAUGACCCAUUUUCAUGGCCCUUGCGAUAUGUUGUAUCUAGCUGUAUAUAACGAGUGUUGCCUGAACAAUUUAUGGUGAAUUCUUCAAGGGGAUCAUAUCUGGGAAAGAGACUAGCUUUAGGCAGUUUUAGAUACAUGGUUCCAGGGUAAUUUGGCGAACUGAAUCCAUUAAGCAAGAGGGUCUUUGGGUAACAAUUGUAAAGGCCGUCGCUAAAAUUUAGCAGGAAGGCCUUGCAUUUGCACAACUGUAAGCAUAGAUUUUCACACCUUUCAUAGGUGUAGUUGGGGUAGUGACCAUAGUCAUAGCCGUAGAGUUGAACAUGAGGGAGUGGGAAGAAGCCCACCUCAGUUUGGUUACAAGCGAUAUCAGUUUCUGGUGCACACCCAUAAGACCAGUCAGUUGAAUUUACAAUCUUGAAUCCAGGCAUGCAAGAGCAUCCUCUGCCAUAAGCAGGGGUGUAACUGCAGAGACUGUUGGGUCCGCAGAUGCCAUGAAUCUGGCAUGGUUGGGAGAUAGCCUGCCAUGAAACCGACCAGGUUCCUCUCGUUUCUUCUAGACUAUACAUUCUAAGAUUGCCAUCGAAAUCGAGGGCCAAUCUUCUCUGAGGCCCCGCCCCAAAAUCCGCUGACCGAAAUUCCAAAUCAUCUGAUGCUCUAUAAUAACCCAAAGAAUCGAAUACUGCGAUUCGACUGUCGUUGAAUGUUUUCCUUCCAGCAUCCCAGGUCACCAGGCUUGGGUCUGGCCAGUAGAUGCUGGAAACCUCAGUACCAUUGAAGAGAAGGCGGACGACGUUAUCACUGUCAAAAAAUAGCUUAUAAAAACCAGAAGAAUAGUUGCUUUGGCUUCUUGAUGAGAUAAGGCUGGUAUCUUUGGUCAGUAUCUGGUGAGGAAGAAGAGUAUCUGUGGGUGAGUCAAAGCUCUGCCAAAUCACCGUCUUCUCCCAAGCAUACAGUACAAGAUUGCCUGUGUUAAGGAGCUGUAAUCUCACAGAGGAGGUUGAAACGGUGUUGAUCAUCCAAACCAUGAUUUUACCAGCAUCAGUUAAGAGGAGAUUGCCAUUCCUCAACAAAGAAAGCUUGGAGCCUCUACCGUUGACCGGUUGGUCACGGUUCGCCAUCCAAACUGUGGUUGCACCCAAUGAUUUUGUGAACCAUAUGGCGAAGCAGAAAGUGUUGUUGCCGACCUGGUAAAACCCAGCAGAGAAUAUACCAUUUGCUGAAAUGAGAACGUCACUUGAUUUCUCCGCAGAAAGAGAUGAGCCUUCGCUCAGAGUAUCAUACGUGUCAGAUGAAGAUGGAUAGCAAGUUAAUAGCAAAGCCAAAACAAAGAAACCAACUGUCCUAUCCAUGAGUUUUAAGAUAUGGUUUAUGUGCUCUGUUUCUCGGAUAUUUGCAAUGGAGAAUACAAGUGCAUG
rnacentral:lncRNA from 1 species